GAUGAACACUGGCGGUCUGCUUAACACAUGCAAGUCGAACGGAAUCCUUCGGGAUUUAGUGGCGGACGGGUGAGUAACGCGUGAGAAUCUGCCUUCAGGUUCGGGACAACAGCUGGAAACGGCUGCUAAUACCGGAUGUGCCGAGAGGUGAAAGCUUUAGUGCCUGAAGAUGGGCUCGCGUCUGAUUAGCUAGUAGGAGUGGUAAUGGCACCCCUAGGCGACGAUCAGUAGCUGGUCUGAGAGGAUGAUCAGCCACACUGGGACUGAGACACGGCCCAGACUCCUACGGGAGGCAGCAGUGGGGAAUUUUCCGCAAUGGGCGCAAGCCUGACGGAGCAAGACCGCGUGAGGGAAGAAGGUCUGUGGAUUGUAAACCUCUUUUGAUGGGGAAGAAGACAGUGACGGUACCCAUCGAAUCAGCCUCGGCUAACUCCGUGCCAGCAGCCGCCGUAA
rnacentral:rRNA from 1 species